UACAGAGGGGGCAAGCGUUGUUCGGAAUUACUGGGCGUAAAGGGCGCGUAGGCGGCCGACUAAGUCAGACGUGAAAUCCCAUGGCUCAACCAUGGAACUGCGUCUGAUACUGGAUGGCUUGAGUUCGGGAGAGGGAAGUGGAAUUCCAGGUGUAGCGGUGAAAUGCGUAGAUAUCUGGAGGAACACCGGUGGCGAAGGCGGCUUCCUGGACCGACACUGACGCUGAGGCGCGAAAGCCAGGGGAGCAAACGGG
rnacentral:rRNA from 1 species